UACAGAGGUCCCAAGCGUUGUUCGGAUUCACUGGGCGUAAAGGGUGCGUAGGCGGCCGGGUAAGUCUGUUGUGAAAUCCCGCAGCUUAACUGCGGAACUGCAGUGGAUACUAUCCGGCUCGAGGAAUGGAGGGGAGACUGGAAUUCUCGGUGUAGCAGUGAAAUGCGUAGAUAUCGAGAGGAACACCAGUGACGAAGGCGAGUCUCUGGACAUUUCCUGACGCUGAGGCACGAAAGCCAGGGGAGCAAACGGG
rnacentral:rRNA from 1 species